AAGCCGCAGGGCCAGCACCCACACACCCAGGCAGCGCAGCUCCUGAUGUUAGCGUCUGCGUCAGGACACAUCGAGAUCAAAGGCAAGGGGAAAGAUUAAGAUUUCUUUUCUUGAGCGUGAGUUCCAGCCUGGAGUCACCAAGUGUUUUCAGUGGUGAUGACACUACGCAGACAAGAUUACAGAGUUCUGGUGUGAAGUUUAAUCAAAAUUGCUCAUCUGAUCAAGGGCACUGUCACUGGUGGUGACAAUGGAAGUUACCCAUCACCCAGAAAGUCUGCUUCUGGGAAUUUAUCCUGAGGAACUAAUGGAGAAUGUGGGGCUCGGCUCAUAGGAUAGUUUAGUCCAAUUGACUUCUAUCCAGCUUCACUAGACUCGCCAAGUACUACACACUUCUGGGGACACAACAGUAAUGGUGAGAUGUGGUUCCUGGUCUUCAAGAACUCAUGUCAAGUGGGAACACAUAUGCCUCAGCAGCAAGUCAACAAAAAUCUAAGGGAAGCCUAGGAUUUGAAGCACAACUGUCCCCAUCGCCCAAGAUCAGAUACUACAGUGAAGUGCUUUGAAAGGCAGCUCUAUGCUAACAUAGGCUCCCAAACGCCUCCCGUCAUAGCCUCCCCUCAGAUGGGUCAGCUCACAGGAAAAGCUACGUGUUCUCAUGAGAGCCAGCAUAUAGAAUGUACAGCAUGUGAGGAAAUGGCUACAAGCUUCUCUAUGGCAGGCACAUGUCGGAACCUGAGUAAUGCUGUGGCCAGCCUUCCAGCAGCAAUACCCUUCUGAUAUAGUAAUAUUUUCCUCCUGUAGAAGAAUACUACAAGACACUCUAUUAAAGGAAGAUGUUUCACUUUCCUUUAUACUAGAUGUUUUAGAUCUGGUCUGAAUUUCAAGUGUACCCUGUACCAAUUUUUUUUUAAUUGCAAUUCCAUGUUGCCCCCUAGUGUUCAUCUGUAUGAUUGCAUCCUGUUGUAAUAGGCAAGGAUGAGGGGCAGGGAAGUCUGGGUCCUUGACUUCCCCAGAAGGGGAAAAAUAAAUGUAGUGGAUAUGUAUUAGGACUUGCAAAAGUACACAAAUAACAAAUAACAGCCACAUAAAUUUCAAAAUAUAA